UUAUGGUGAGUUGGAUGGGGGCGGAGCAAUCCGCGCCGGUUACCUUGUACGCCGGUUACGCCAACCCUGUUCAGCUCACCACCCU
rnacentral:antisense_RNA from 1 species